UCGGAGUGAAAACGGAGAGAGAGACAGACAGGCAGAUAGAAAGGGAGAGAGAGAAAGAUACACAUCCAGAGGCAGGACUGAGCAGACUGAAAGAAAGCAACACUCCUCACCACCACAGUUGGAUAGACAGAAAGAUGCUGACAGGCUAAUAGAGGCUCCUCACAUUUAUUCUACAUCCCAGCCGCAGAAGACCACAGCUGUUCUAACAGGCUGACAUAAAGCAGAAGACAAAUCGUUUCAUACACUUUGCUGACAUCGUAACGGCAGCAAGAAAGUCCUUUCUCUCUGACUAGUCGGCUGUACAUGGAGACCACCAGUUGGGCAGAAACCAAGCCAGAAAGUGGUCUGUGCAAACCAGGAACCAUUGCUCUGUUUGGUAACGUGGUCUACAGCGGGCUGCUCAACGAGCACUUCUGGCACUUCGGGG